rnacentral:rRNA from 1 species
GACGAACGCUGGCGGCGUGCUUAACACAUGCAAGUCGAACGGAAAGGCCCUGCUUUUGUGGGGUGCUCGAGUGGCGAACGGGUGAGUAACACGUGAGUAACCUGCCCUUGACUUUGGGAUAACUUCAGGAAACUGGGGCUAAUACCGGAUAGGAGCUCCUGCUGCAUGGUGGGGGUUGGAAAGUUUCGGCGGUUGGGGAUGGACUCGCGGCUUAUCAGCUUGUUGGUGGGGUAGUGGCUUACCAAGGCUUUGACGGGUAGCCGGCCUGGGAGGGUGACCGGCCCCAUUGGGACUGAGAAACGGCCCAGACUCCUACGGGAGGCAGCAGUGGGGAAUAUUGCACAAUGGGCGGAAGCCUGAUGCAGCAACGCCGCGUGCGGGAUGACGGCCUUCGGGUGGUAAAGCGCUUUCGCCUGUGACGAAGCGUGAGUGACGGUAAUGGGUAAAGAAGCACCGGCUAACUACGG